rnacentral:rRNA from 1 species
UACGGAGGGUGCAAGCGUUGUUCGGAAUUACUGGGCGUAAAGCGCGUGUAGGCGGUUUUUUAAGUCUGAUGUGAAAGCCCGGGGCUCAACCCCGGAAGUGCAUUGGAAACUGGAAGACUUGAAUACGGGAGAGGGAAGUGGAAUUUCGAGUGUAGGGGUGAAAUCCGUAGAUAUUCGAAGGAACACCAGAGGCGAAGGCGACUUCCUGGACCGAUAUUGACGCUGAGACGCGAAAGCGUGGGGAGCAAACAGG